CAGUAGCCGCGGGAAUACGUAGGGCGCAAGCGUUAUCCGGAAUUAUUGGGCGUAAAGAGCUCGUAGGCGGUUUGUCGCGUCUGCCGUGAAAGUCCGGGGCUCAACCCCGGAUCUGCGGUGGGUACGGGCAGACUAGAGUGAUGUAGGGGAGACUGGAAUUCCUGGUGUAGCGGUGAAAUGCGCAGAUAUCAGGAGGAACACCGAUGGCGAAGGCAGGUCUCUGGGCAUUAACUGACGCUGAGGAGCGAAAGCAUGGGGAGCGAACAGGAUUAGAUACCCCGGUAGUCCCUGUCUCUUAUAA
rnacentral:rRNA from 1 species